rnacentral:lncRNA from 1 species
UCAAAAUCGGUCACGACGGAAUCAAUGUCUGAAAGUCCGUAAAAAUCAGCAUAACCGUUUUUACGAAAAGUAAUCUUCGUAAAGAAAUCUUUACGAAGAGCCUUGCAGUAAAAUAUCGUCCAAAUCUCAAUCGAACCACUAAAUACCGAUUGUCCGAAGGCAACGGACAUGUAUCCAAAUCGGCCGCGGACAAGCUCGAGUAUGGAAAUCAGACCGCGGACAAGCCAAGCUCGAUCGAUACGCGGCAACCAAGCAUGC